rnacentral:rRNA from 1 species
UACGGAGGGGGCUAGCGUUGUUCGGAAUUACUGGGCGUAAAGCGCGCGUAGGCGGAUCUGCAAGUCGGGGGUGAAAUCCCGAGGCUCAACCUCGGAACUGCCUUCGAUACUGCGGGUCUCGAGUCCGGGAGAGGUGAGUGGAAUUCCUAGUGUAGAGGUGAAAUUCGUAGAUAUUAGGAAGAACACCAGUGGCGAAGGCGGCUCACUGGCCCGGUACUGACGCUGAGGCGCGAAAGCGUGGGAAGCAAACAGG